GGCGUUUUUAACUAGGGUUUUGUAGCUCGCGAUAUAGAGAGAGUAGUAAUGUUCGAAGGACUUGGAUAAGAUUUGGAGAGAAGGAGGAUCGGGGGGAACGGGGAGAUGGAUGAUCCGAAUACGCGGCGUGGCGGGAGUGAUGGCGGAGGAAGGCGUCAGGGGAUUGGAGAUUCCGUCGGUGGGUGUCGGCGCAAAUGGGUAUUUCAAGACGAGAAUGGUGGCGGAGAAUCGAUUGUCACGAUUGAGGAACUGAGUGACGAAUUUGAUGGUGGAGACGAG
rnacentral:misc_RNA from 1 species